ACUGCUCAGUAACACGUGGACAACCUGCCCUUAGGUUGGGUAUAAACCCGGGAAACUGGGUAUAAUACCCGAUAGGUCUCGAUUGCUGGAAUGCAUCGAGAUUUAAAGCUCCGGCGCCUAAGGAUGGGUCUGCGGCCUAUCAGGUAGUAGUGGGUGUAGCGUACCUACUAGCCUACGACGGGUACGGGUUGUGAGAGCAAGAGCCCGGAGAUGGAUUCUGAGACACGAAUCCAGGCCCUACGGGGUGCAGCAGGCGCGAAAACUUUACAAUGCUGGCAACAGCGAUAAGGGAACCUCGAGUGCCAGGUUACAAAUCUGGCUGUCGAGAUGCCUAAAAAGCAUUUCAUAGCAAGGGCCGGGCAAGACCGGUGCCAGCCGCCGCGGUAACACCGGCGGCUCGAGUGGUAACCGUUAUUAUUGGGUCUAAAGGGUCUGUAGCCGGCCGGAUAAGUCUCUAGAGAAAUCUGGCAGCUUAACUGUCAGGCUUUCAGGAGAUACUGUCUGGCUCGAGGCCGGGAGAGGUGAGAGGUACUUCAGGGGUAGGGGUGAAAUCUUGUAAUCCUUGAAGGACCACCAGUGGCGAAGGCGUCUCACCAGAACGGACCUGACGGCAAGGGACGAAAGCUAGGGGCACGAACCGGAUUAGAUACCCGGGUAGUCCUAGCCGUAAACGAUACUCGCUAGGUGUCGGCCACGGUGCGACCGUUGUCGGUGCCGUAGGGAAGCCGUGAAGCGAGCCACCUGGGAAGUACGGCCGCAAGGCUGAAACUUAAAGGAAUUGGCGGGGGAGCAC
rnacentral:rRNA from 1 species